rnacentral:tRNA from 1 species
UCCCCAGCGGUCCAGUGGUUAAGACUCGGCGUUUCCAAUGCAGGGGGCCUGGGUUCAAUUCCUGGUUGGGGAA